UUGCCGUCAGAGGACGAGGGCGUGCGGGGGAAGGCUCGCUCGACGGUGAAGGGCGAGCCGCGAGGUAGUGCGGCGUGCUCUCCGUCGCGGAGCGAGGUUUCUGGUUAGGCGACGAGGUUGAUUUCGGUGGUGGAGGUCAACCUCGAUCGAUCUGCUCGUCGCCGGAUUGCGAGAACGCGCGGGAGGAAGGCUCGCUCGACGGCAAAGGGUGAGCCGCACGGUAGAGCGGCGUGCUCUGAAUCUGGCAUCGAGGUUUCCGGUCGGGCGGCGAGGUCGCGGCAUAGAGCGUGCGGCGGUAGGGAGCAACACGACGGAGAUCUAGUUGCCCGCGUCACCAUGCUGCCAGGUGAUGAAGUUCUGCGGAGGAUUCUGACCACGUCGAGUCACAGAGCGGUGGAUCCUAGGCAGCGCAACUAGUACCAUCUCGAGUGCGGCGGUGGCGGAGGCUAUGGUCAAUGGUCACUGGUCUACUGAAAUUAUUAAGUUGCCUCCACAUGCUAGUUAGUUUUUAGUUUCUUAUUCACUUUCUAGCUCAUUUUUACCGCUCGAACAAACUAUAUAAGUUGGAUUCUGGCUUAAACGAAGUUGCCUUUCACACCUUCCUCAAGUUGGUUAUUGAAAGUGAUUGAGUUGCA